ensembl:lncRNA
AUGGAAAUGCAGAGUGAGUUUAAAGGAAGAAAAGGUCUAAAGAUGAAUCAGUGGAGUGAGGAGCGUAUGAAAGCUGCAAUAGAGGAGUAUAAAGCGCAGGCUGAGUCUGGGCAGAAGCCUGCGCUACGAUUGCUGGCAAGGAAGUGGAACGUGCCGAAAACGACCCUUCAGAGACGCGUGAAAGGACUCGUCGAGGGAUCCGAGCAUGCAUCUGGAAGAAAACCAUUCAUCCCUGUUGAAUCUGAGCGGGAGUUAGCGUGCCUUCUCACCUUGCUUUCAGAGAGAGGCUUCUCGUUGAGGAAGACUGAUGUUCAGUCGCUUGCUUUUGAGUUUGCCAAGAUAAAUGGCAUCCGAGGGUUUUCAGAAGAGAAGCAAAAGGCAGGCUAUUACUGGUUCGAGGGCUUUAUGAAGCGAAACCCCGGGCUGAAAAUAAAGAAACCUGAGAACACAUCACCAGCUACAAGGAUGAAUGAAGAAGAGCUGGGAAAAUGGUUCACAACUUACAAAAUCACCCUGGAUGCUUUGGGAAUUAAAGACACCCCUUCACAUAUUUGGAAGUGUGAUGUAUCAGCAAUACAAGACAAGUUCUCCUCUCAACAAUAUGUUGGGGAAGGAGAAGAUCCCUGCAUUCAGAUCACAUCCGAGGAGGAAACAGCCUUAACUAUACUAGCAGUAUUCAAUGCCAGUGGUGCAUUUGCUCCUCCGCUUAUCAUUUUUAAAGGAAUUAAGGUGAGAAAUGAGUGCAUGAAUGAAAACAUGCGCAUGAGAGCAUCAGAUGAUGGCUGGAUAACAGCAGAGCUGUUCCUUGAGUGGGGGGAAAUGUUUGUGGCACAGUUCCCGAAAGAUGACGCCAGGCCCCACCUUUUGCUCCUCGAUGGCCAAAGCAGCCACGUCUUCAACCUCAGCUUCCUCAAUCUCAUGAAGCAGAACCACGUGGAGGUCAUAUGCUAUCCUGCACCGCAGCCGGCCAGCACGGCUCUGUGUAGGAGCUUCAAACACAGCUGGUGUGAAGCGAGUCUCAGCUGGAAUCAGCAGUGUGCGGGAAAGAAGUUGGCCAAAGCACAUUAUUGUUCUGUUUUCAUGGACGCGUGGAAGAAAACUGCCACUGUGGAAAGAGCCAAGGAUGUGUUCAGAACAACGGGGAUGUUCCCGAUAAAUGAGUUUACCUCCAUCGGGCAUGAAAGCACCACGCUAUCCGCCGAAGACGCUGCACAUUGCAGCACUGAGAGCAGCUCUGAUGAGCCUCCAGCUGUUGAAGUGACAUCAUUCAAAGACUUUGUGGUCAUACAAAAGAGUCACAGGGGUGUAAAGACAGUACCAUAUUUACAAAGAAACUCAGAAUACCUUCUUUAUGAUGAACAUUUAAAACAAAGAAAUGAACAGAAUAAAGCACCCGCCUACAAAUGCAGAGGCUGCUUCAUAAACCACGGCUCAGACGAUGAUCCGAAAGCUUCUGAAGCGUGGAUCAGAUGCAGCAACUGUAAGGCCUGCUACCACGAGUCUUGUGCAGAAGAGGAUGGGAUAUAUGAAUGGGUUUACGAUGGAGAUGGGGAUAAUCGAUAA